rnacentral:rRNA from 1 species
UACAGAGGUCCCAAGCGUUGUUCGGAUUCACUGGGCGUAAAGGGUGCGUAGGUGGGUUGGUAAGUCAGUGGUGAAAUCUCCGGGCUUAACCUGGAAACUGCCAUUGAUACUAUCAAUCUUGAAUACCUUGAGGUGAGCGGAAUAUGUCAUGUAGCGGUGAAAUGCUUAGAUAUGACAUAGAACACCAAUUGCGAAGGCAGCUC